AGCGUAGACGGUUUGGCAAGUCUGAUGUGAAAGCCCGGGGCUCAACCCCGGGACUGCAUUGGAAACUGUUGAACUAGAGUGCAGGAGAGGUAAGUGGAAUUCCUAGUGUAGCGGUGAAAUGCGUAGAUAUUAGGAGGAACACCAGUGGCGAAGGCGGCUUACUGGACUGUAACUGACGUUGAGGCUCGAAAGCGUGGGGAGCAAACAG
rnacentral:rRNA from 1 species